AUCUAAGUACCCCGAGGAAAAGAAAUCAACCGAGAUUCCCCCAGUAGCGGCGAGCGAACGGGGAGGAGCCCAGAGCCUGAAUCAGCAUGUGUGUUAGUGGAAGCGUCUGGAAAGGCGCGCGAUACAGGGUGACAGCCCCGUACACAAAAGCGCAUGUGCUGUGAGCUCGAUGAGUAGGGCGGGACACGUGGUAUCCUGUCUGAAUAUGGGGGGACCAUCCUCCAAGGCUAAAUACUCCUGACUGACCGAUAGUGAACCAGUACCGUGAGGGAAAGGCGAAAAGAACCCCGGCGAGGGGAGUGAAAAAGAACCUGAAACCGUGUACGUACAAGCAGUGGGAGCACCCUUUGGGGUGUGACUGCGUACCUUUUGUAUAAUGGGUCAGCGACUUAUAUUCUGUAGCAAGGUUAACCG
rnacentral:rRNA from 1 species